GGCUGCGCAAGCUCGACGCGCGCACUCUUGUCUGCUUACGAGGGCUCCUCCCUUCAGCUUUGGUCCCUCGGGGCGUCUGGGCAGCCUACGCUUUCCGACUGGAAUCAGCCAUUUUACCAAGAAAGUUGGGUUUCUUUUACUGGCAAAUAGUACUUCAAGAGCACAGUCUUAUGUAAGGGAGCUGUACCAAGUUAUUUUGGGUCAGAAUUCUCCUGGGAUAUCUUUUUUCUUCGCCUUUUUAAACUCGUUUAUUAUAAAAACAAUGUUACCAUAUGCAAAACUAGAAGAGUGUAAUGAAUUCCCGUGUGUCCAUCAUCUAUCUUUAACAGAAGUACAGUCUAUAUAAAGACUGUCCAGGACAAAAACUGGCCACUCCAUUCAGCAUUGACAGCAGUAUUUAAAGCUGGUGCAUGGUGAGGUGAAGUUUCUCAAGGGCAAAGACAAUGCCUUCAUGCAUGUUCAGUGUCUGCCCCCGUGGGCUUUGAAAUGAUCGCUGACAAUGGGGGAUCUGCAGUGACUUCUCUGCCUCUGCCAAAGCCCAGGGGUGCUGCUCCCUAAUUCUAAGGAUUCUAAUGAGACUCAGAGCAGGUGUAACACAGGGCAUGGAGCUUCCUGAGCAAGAGGCUGGCUAACAAACUGUGGACGUGGUACUUAGACACAUUAAGAGACAUUACAGGGACACCUGCAAGUAUGUCUCCCUGGGGAGAAGCCAAGUGCAGAUGCUAUGGCCACAGAUGAUAUGGUUUGGCUCUGUGUCCCCACUCAAAUCUCAUCUCAAGUUGUAAUCCCUGGAUGUCGAGGGAGGGACCUGGUGGGAGGUGAUUGGAUUGGUUCGCAUGAUAGUGAGGGAGUUCUCACGAGAUCUGGUUGUUUGAUAAGUGUCUGGCAUUUCUCCUGUGCUGUCUCUCCUGCCACCUUGUGAAGAAGGUGCCUGCUUCUCCUUCGCCUUCCGCCAUGAUUGUAAGUUUCCUGAGGCCUCCCUAGCAAUGCAGAACUGUGAGUCAAUUAAACUUCCUUUCUUUAUAAAU
rnacentral:lncRNA from 1 species